rnacentral:rRNA from 1 species
CCUACGGGAGGCAGCAGUGGGGAAUAUUGCGCAAUGGGCGAAAGCCUGACGCAGCGACGCCGCGUGAGGGAUGAAGGUCUUCGGAUCGUAAACCUCUGUCAGCAGGGAAGUACGGUCACUGUGCUAAUCAGCAGUGAAUUGACGGUACCUGCAAAGGAAGCACCGGCUAACUCCGUGCCAGCAGCCGCGGUAAUACGGAGGGUGCGAGCGUUAAUCGGAAUUACUGGGCGUAAAGCGCUCGUAGGCGGUAUGUCAAGUCAAGGGUGAAAUCCCGGGGCUCAACGUGGGAACUGCCUUUGAUACUGGCAGACUGGAGUGUGUGAGAGGAAGGUGGAAUUCGAGGUGUAGGAGUGAAAUGCGUAGAUAUCUGGAGGAACAUCAGUGGCGAAGGCGACUAUCUGGCACAUAACUGACGCUGAGGAGCGAAAGCGUGGGUAGCAAACAGGAUUAGAUACCCCAGUAGUC